AGAAAAAAACGUCGGCGAUUUAGCUACUAUAUCAAAAUUUAUUCAUACUUUUUAAUAGCAUCGAAAUAUUACGACACUUGAAAGUAUUGAUGAUAUAGCACAAAAUUUUUCCAUAAGCAUCAUCGGAAGCCAAGGCCAAAAACACCGAAGUGUCUGCGGUAUUAGACGGCGCAAUUAAGCACCAUCGGAAUCCAAGAGCAAGAACAAGGCGAUGGAUAUAAGUAUCCUCGAAAGCCCCCCAAAUCCCUAACCCCAGAGAGCGGAGCCCCAAAUCGAUGAGCCCUACUCAACCUCCUCCUUCUUCUUCUCCUCCUCCCGAGAGUCCACCAAAGCUUCAUCCUCCUCCUCCUCCUCCUCCAGAGAGUCCUCCACCAGCAUAGUUGCAUCCUCCCCCUCCUUCUCCGGCCUCCGUCUCCAGAGAACCCACUAUCGGAGCAUAGCUGCAUCCUCCUCAUCCUUCUCCGGCCUCCUCCUCUAGAGAUUUCUCCACCGGAGCAUCGCUGCAUCCUCCUCCUCUUUCUCCAUCCUCAAACGGGUAGUUGUCUAUUGGUAUGACUUUGAGUCAUAAAUAGG
rnacentral:lncRNA from 1 species